rnacentral:RNase_P_RNA from 1 species
UGAGUCGGCCGGGCGGCCGCGUCAGGAAACUGCCGAGGAACGUCCGGGCUCCACAGGGCAGGGCGGUGGGUAACACCCACCCGGGGUGACCCGCGGGAACAGUGCAACAGAAAGCAGACCGCCGAUCCGCGCGAGCGGAUCGGCAAGGGUGAAACGGUGGUGCAAGAGACCACCAGCGCACCCGGUGACGGGUGCGGCUGGGCAAACCCCGCCCGGAGCAAGACCAAGCAGCAGGCGCACGAGGGCUGCCCGCCCGAGCCUGCGGGUAGGUCGCUGGAGGGCUGCGGCAACACAGCCCCGAGAUGGAUGGUCGCCACCGCGGCGGGGGAGACCCCGCCACGGCACAGAACCCGGCGUACAGGCCGGCUCAUUCG